UACAGAGGUCUCGAGCGUUAGGCGGAAUCACUGGGCUUAAAGCGUGUGUAGGCGGGUCGUUAAGUGCCUUGUGAAAUCCCAUGGCUCAACCAUGGAACUGCUGGGCAUACUGGCGAUCUUGUGCCACCUAGGGGCGAGCGGAACAGAUGGGUGGAGCGGUGAAAUGCGUAGAUAUCAUCUGGAACGCCAAUGGUGAAAACAGCUCGCUGGGGGUGUGCAGAUGCUGGAGACACGAAAGCCAGGGGAGCGAACGGG
rnacentral:rRNA from 1 species